CAACACGUCGCACCCAACACGUUGAUGCACAAGUAAAAUUGUGCUUUGCUUGUAAGGGCGGAGAUUGGCCUCCCGUACACUAUUAGUGUGUGGUUGGCCUAAAUGUGGAGAUUGCGGCUGUGAGUGCCACAGCGUUAGGUGGUUGGUUGCCUUAGGUUAAAUGCCUUAGGCAAGGAUCACGCCGUGCGCCUUACUAUGCUUGUGAUUCUCGUAGGGCCUUAAAUAAGUCGUGCAUAUCACACGACUUAACCUAU
rnacentral:misc_RNA from 1 species